rnacentral:lncRNA from 1 species
CGGAAGUCUACCCGGCCUCUUCCUUCUCAUUCAGGAGGCCUCUCCUCCAGCCGUAAGGAGGUGGGAAGCCUGGUGGAGGCUCUCAUCUGCCUUUUGGGGAAGACCCUGAGGCCGGCCCACGCCCUGUUGGCAGGACCCUUCCUGAGUCCACCGUUCCUCUGGGUCUCACCACUUCUCCAAGUCCCUAGGCUGCCUCCUCUCUACCGUGCCUGGGACCCCAGGGGCAGCACUUCCAUUCUACACAAGCUACCUCAAAAGAGAAAACAGAAAAACAAGGAGUACUGAUGAUGGCAGCUGAGUAGCAGGACAAUCCAGGCAUCCAGUUAUGCCGGAGCCCCAGUAAGUGAAAUCUUUGUUCAUAUUCUUUUUAUAUACCCAUCUGCCGCCUAAAACCUGACAUCAUUUAAUGGUGUCUUUGGUCAAAUCUAAAUGAUCUGACUUUCAUAAUCCUUUGAUUCUAGCUUGCAGAGUCAAGAUGAACUCUAACUCAUGGGAUGGACAAAAUGAAAGAUAUAAGGUUUUCAGGGCUAAAAAGCCUCUUUUUACACAAAAUCAAAUUUUAAAAGAACAUUGACCUCAAAACAAUAAAACUGUCCUGGUUACACAAUAGAUAUAACUCUAUAAAUGGAAUCAUAUCCUUAAUGAACAUCCGUGGCUACCCAACUUUUCAUACGUCUUAUUGUUUACAGGCCUUGCUGUGAAUGCUCUCUUGCUUUAUCUGAAGUAUUUCCACCAAAGAGUUCUUUCCAACUUUAUUUCCUAUAUUAUGAAAAAUGAAGUUUUUUUCAACAUUCUAUCAAAGUAUGAUAGAUAAUGUAUAUUAUAUUAAAUAAACCAUAAUUGUACUGUUAACUGUUUUUAUGACAUUGGUCAGUAAAGUUCUAAAUCAUGCGACUAUAAUUUAUUUACAUGUAAGGAAGUGACAAUGAACUGCAUAAAGAAUGAAAGAGACGCCAGGCACAGUGGUUCACGCCUAUAAUUCUAGCACUUUGUGAGGCUGAGGCGGGCGGAUCACCUGAGGUUGGGAGUUUGAGACCAGCUUGACCAACAGGGAGAAACACCGUCUCUACUAAAAAUACAAAAUUAGCCAGGCAUGGUGGCACAUGCCUGUAAUCCCAGCUACUUGGGAGACCGAGGCAGGAGAAUCACUUGAACCCAGGAGGCAGAGGUUGUGGUGAGCUGAGAUUGUGCCAUUGCACUCCAGCCUGGGCAACAAGAAUAAGAAAAAAAAAAAACAAAAUAAUGAAAGAGAAUAUUCUAAUUACUAUCAGCUUACACAAAACUUAUAUAAAACACAAAUUUUUACCUGUUCA